rnacentral:rRNA from 1 species
AGUGAACGCUGGCGGUAGGCCUAACACAUGCAAGUCGAACGGCAGCACAGUAAGAGCUUGCUCUUACGGGUGGCGAGUGGCGGACGGGUGAGGAAUACAUCGGAAUCUACUUUUUCGUGGGGGAUAACGUAGGGAAACUUACGCUAAUACCGCAUACGACCUACGGGUGAAAGCAGGGGAUCUUCGGACCUUGCGCGAUUGAAUGAGCCGAUGUCGGAUUAGCUAGUUGGCGGGGUAAAGGCCCACCAAGGCGACGAUCCGUAGCUGGUCUGAGAGGAUGAUCAGCCACACUGGAACUGAGACACGGUCCAGACUCCUAAGGGAGGCAGCAGUGGGGAAUAUUGGACCAAGGGCGGAAGCCUGAUCCAGCCAUACCGCGUGGGUGAAGAAGGCCUUCGGGUUGUAAAGCCCCUUUGUUGGGAAAGAAAAGCAGCAGGUUAAUACCCCGCUGUUCUGACGGUACCCAAAGAAUAAGCACCGGCUAACUUCGUG